ACUCAAUAGAUACCCGGGUAGUCCACGCCCUAAACGAUGUCUACUAGUUGUCGGGUCUUAAUUGACUUGGUAAACGCAGCUAAACGCGUGAAGUAGACCGCCUGGGGAGUACGGUCGCAAGAUUAAAACUCAAAGGAAUUGACGGGGACCCGCACAAGCGGUGGAUGAUGUGGAUUAAUUCGAUGCAACGCGAAAAACCUUACCUACCCUUGACAUGGAUGGAAUCCCUGAGAGAUUGGGGAGUGCUCGAAAGAGAACCAUUACACAGGUGCUGCAUGGCUGUCGUCAGCUCGUGUCGUGAGAUGUUGGGUUAAGUCCCGCAACGAGCGCAACCCUUGUCAUUAGUUGCUACGAAAGGGCACUCUAAUGAGACUGCCGGUGACAAACCGGAGGAAGGUGGGGAUGACGUCAAGUCCUCAUGGCCCUUAUGGGUAGGGCUUCACACGUCAUACAAUGGUACAUACAGAGGGUCCGCCAACCCGCGAGGGGUAGCUAAUCCCAGAAAGUGUAUCGUAGUCCGGAUUGUAGUCUGCAACUCG
rnacentral:rRNA from 1 species